GACUAACCGUCCUAACGUUGUUCGGAAUCACUGGGCUUAAAGGGCGCGUAGGCGGCCUUGCAAGUCGGGGGUGAAAUCCCACGGCCUAACCGUGGAAGUGCCUCCGAUACUGCAAGGCUCGAGGGAGGUAGGGGCAGCUGGAACUUCCGGUGGAGCGGUGAAAUGCGUUGAUAUCGGAAGGAACGCCGGUGGCGAAAGCGAGCUGCUGGACCUCUGCUGACGCUGAGGCGCGAAAGCCAGGGGAGCAAACGGG
rnacentral:rRNA from 1 species